AUGAUCAGAACAGGAAUCUGGAACCUAGAGCUAAACAAAUCCUUAGCAUCAUCAAAGGAAAUUCUAAUAUUCAUGACAAAUAGGGCCAUGGAUUUAGCUCAGUGGCGCUGGCACCUGCCUCUCAAGUACAAGGUCCUGAGUUCGAUCCCCAGAACCAAAAAAAAAAAAAUCAUGACAAAUGUUAUACCUGGAUUCCAUUCACACACUUCCUGCCACUAG
rnacentral:lncRNA from 1 species